rnacentral:misc_RNA from 1 species
GGUUCUUUUUUAUUUUUUUUCUCGAUUAGAAGCAAGUAGUAAAAUCAAAUUAACCAAAACAGAGCAUGAGAUUUCACUAUAUACUUUUCAACACUUCUACAAACACUAAGGGCAGAGCCAACUACGACGAACAACACAUAUAUUCAGAUCACAAAGCACCCCCAAAUAAAAGCCAGUAAACCACCCUUCCACCAAAAAAGUUACUUCCCGAUCUUCCCCCUGAGCUUCACGCCCAGCACUUUCUCCAUCUUCGCCAAAACGGCCUGAUUAGGAACCGCCUUGCCAUUCUCAUACUCCUGCACCACCUUAGGCUGCUCAUUAAUCAACUUAGCAAGCUCCGAUUGGCUCAUCUUCUUCUCCAGCCGCGCUUUCUGGAUCGCCUGCCUUACCUCAGUCGACGCCUUUUCCAGCGCCGCCGGCUCCGUCUCUUCGUCCAACUUCCUCGCGUUUACGACAGUUGCUGCUUUCUUGUUUGAACCAGCGUCGAACUUCUUGAUUGUCUGGACCGGCGCGCCUGAUCGGAGGGCUUGGUUCACCGCCUUGUGAUCGCGCAGGUCUUGGGCCCUGGGUUUUGACUUGCGUAGCACAACUGGCUCCCAGUCCUGGUUGAUUACUCCAGUCGAUCUGCUAGGCAUUUUCUAAGAGGCACAAACAACAAAUGUAGUUGCUUUUCUAUGAGAAAGCUAUAAUCGCUUCAUCAAAACCAAGCG